UGUGUGUGUGUGUGUGUGUGUGUGUGUGUGUGUGUGUGUGUGUGUGUGUGUGUUCGAGCUCAUGAACUCUUGAACACACUAAGCACUC
rnacentral:miRNA from 1 species